UUUGUGACUUGACCAAUUACUACUAUAGAUAACAUCACUAUUGUAGAACCUAAGAAUGGUUUUUUGAGAUACCUUUCAGACUGUUCCCACCCAGACUCAUGACUCAACUGAUCCUGUAGCCCCACCCAGAGGUGGACUCAGCAUAUGAGUACCAUUUUCCACACCCCUAUGAUUUCAUCCUCAGUCAGUAAAGAUCACCCAUUCCCUAGCUAUGAUAUGAGUGCUAACUUCAGUUCUCUCAUGUGGGCCAGCCUCACAUCAAUUAAACCACUUCUCUACUGCAAUGCUGUAGUCUCAGUGGAUUGAUUUUUGUCUAUGCAGUGGGCAGGAAGAACCCAUCUGAUGAUUACAUGACUAAAAUAAGUAAAAGGCACUCUGCACUCAUGCCUUGCUACAGCCAAUACUUAAUAGAGCCACAGGCUAAAAUGUUCUGAAAGUUGUUACUCUUAAUUAGCUCUGUGUGUGGGUGUGUAUGUGUCGAGCAUAGUUUUGUGUUGACUGGAGGGCAGUCAUUCUUUGCUGAUACAAAAUUAACAUUUUUUAAAUCAGCAUUUAUCAGCAUUUAAUUUUUUAAUUAAAAUCAGCAUUUAAUGCUAAUUUUUUAUCAGCUUUAUAAUUUUUUAUCAGCAUUUCUCAGGGUUUACCUAUUUAUUGUUGUUAUAUUUAGGUGCAGAUGUUUGCUGACACAGCCUCAGCCUCAUGGGAGGGACUCAACAAAAUGGAAUUUGUGGUCUCUUCAUUAUAGGCAGAGGGUGAAGAAAAAUGGGCAGCUUAAUAUCAGUCUAAGUUUGUUUAGAUUAUGUGGACUUCUAGAUGGCUUGAGCAAUUGGUUCUGGAGUAUUUAAUGUCAUAUGAUUUACAGCAAUGUCAUAUUCACAGAAGCACUGACAACACCCUAGCUCUUCGUUUCCGAAACCACGAGGUUUCUGGAACACAGGUUAAGAUCAGGCUGAGCCCUGUUCUUAGUCAUAGAGUGGUGUUUUCUCCUUUUUAAUUUUUAAAUGAAAUAAAUCUGUUUUUUCCUAUUCAAGGCAAUUAUAAAUUCAAGACAUCAGACAGCUUCCAGGACUGAGCCUACCUAGAUAAAGUGUGAGGAGGCUGUACAGGAAGCGUGGCUGGGGGAGGCCUCUGGAAAUAUACAACUGUGGCAGGAGGUGAAGGGGAAGCCAUCAUGUCCUACAUGACUGAAGCAAGGGGAAAAGAGAGCAAAUGUAGAAGUGCUACAUACUUUUAAACAAACAGAUCUCGUGAGAAAUCACUCACUAUCACAACAGCAAGAGGGAAACUCACCCCUAUGAUGUAAUCACCCCCUACCAAGUUUCUCCCCCAACAUUGGGAAUUACAAUUCCAUAUGAGAGGAAGAGCAAAUUAGGGUCAAACACCCACUGAGGGAGAAGUAUGAAAGACAAAGGGAAAAGAUGACCAUCCACAAGCCAAGGAGGCACCGCUCAGAAGAAACAGUCCUGCCAACACAUUAAUCUCAGAAGUAUAGCUUUCGUAACUGUGAAAAACCAAAUUUCUGUUGUUUAAGCCACUCAGUCUGUGGUGCUUUGUUACGACAGACCAAGCAAAGGAAUACAUGUGGUAAGUGAAUAAAGGUUUGAUUGUGACUUUUGGUUUAGCUCGCCCUAAUUACCACCUCAACACCUGGUAGCUAAACUGCUUUUGUCUUAAUCGUAUAAAAGGUAUCUUUGGAAGAGCAUUUUUUAUGAAGUCAUAAUUUGUGUUUUUACUUUUAUAUUUCAUGUUUUAUUUAGCCUAUGUAAAAUUUUUUUGCAAGAUCACAAAUUUUUCCUUUUUCUUUUAGAAACUUUAUAGUUUCCAGUUGCACAUUUAGGAAAACUUUUCAUUUGAAGUUAGAUGUGUGCAUGGUGUAAGAUAGGGAGAAUGCUAUUUUUUUUUU